rnacentral:rRNA from 1 species
AGUCUGCAACUCGAGUGCAUGAAGCUGGAAUCGCUAGUAAUCGCGAAUCAGAAUGUCGCGGUGAAUACGUUCCCGGGUCUUGUACACACCGCCCGUCACACCAUGGGAGCCGACAACGCCCGAAGUCAGUGACCUAACCGAGAGGGAGGAGCUGCCGAAGGCGGGGUUGGUAACUGGGGUGAAGUCGUAACAAGGUACC